UGUUUGUUCACGUAACUCCUCCGAGUACAGGAAAGCACCUGCUGAGGGGACUCAUCGCAGACUCUGCAGCGAUGUGGAGCACGUGAAGGACACCUUUGUGCCGGAAGCUUCUCUCCACUUAGAGCCCAGGCUCCGGACAUGCACCUGAGAAACUGUUGACUUCAGGUGUGUCAAACAGCCCGUGAACAACAGAAACCCAGUAAUAAAGUCCCCCAGUGCAGGUUUCUCUUGAGGCUCAACUGGGAACUAUCAGAAUCCUUCCGAGAGAACUCACUCAGAUUUUGAGAGCUUUCAAUUGCGUAAAAUUGGCAAAGCCCAGGUGUGAAGAGCUUCGGGUUAAAGAUACAGUAUUAAACCGGUCCCCACAGACGGGCCAAGCUGAGGGCCACAUCGGAGGUAGGACAGCUCCCAACUGAGUCCCCCAGGCUGUGGGCUGGCAGGCCGGCCUCCAAGGCUGAGCCCUGGGCAGGAGGGACUAGGGGCUCCAUCGCAGGAAGCCUACAGAGGGUUCAGCAGAACGUCCCAGAGACAGGAAAACUGUGCCAAGGCUCCUGCCCAGGGAACCGGGCGCCAAAUCUUGUGACAGUUUCUCGUGGAGGAGCCCAGUACUGAGGAAGGCAUCGGAUGGGCAUGAAGACAGGAUUCCUUCAUUCGUCUCUCUGGGCCUAACUAACGCAGGAGCCUGGGGCGGCCAGAGGCAGAGAGCUGAGAUCCUGGCCCUCACUCGGGGGAGUGCCCGUGGCCAGCAAGCCCAGAGCACCCCCGUGCGCAGUGGGACGGCCUCCUGGCCGCCGGGACCGGACAGUCACCAUCCCCAGGGCUGGUUCCCUGCUGGGCCUUCUGUC